GAUGAACGCUAGCGGUAGGCUUAACACAUGCAAGUCGAGGGGCAGCGCGGGAUAGCAAUAUCCUGGCGGCGACCGGCGGAAGGGUGCGUAACGCGUGAGCGACAUGCCCGUUGCCCGGGGACAACCGGUGGAAACGCCGACUAAUCCCCGAUGGGAUAUUGUGCCGCAUGGCACGAUAUUGAAAGUUACGGCGGCGACGGAUUGGCUCGCGUCCGAUUAGCUGGUUGGCGGGGUAACGGCCCACCAAGGCUGCGAUCGGUAGGGGUUCUGAGAGGAAGGCCCCCCACAAUGGGACUGAGACACGGCCCAUACUCCUACGGGAGGCAGCAGUGAGGAAUAUUGGUCAAUGGGCGGAAGCCUGAACCAGCCAUGCCGCGUGCGGGAAGGAGGCCCUAUGGGCUGUGAACCGCUUUUGCCUGGGGGCAAUAAGGGCGUCGCGCACGUCCGAUGAGAGUACCAGGCGAAUAAGCAUCGGCUAACUCCGUG
rnacentral:rRNA from 1 species